rfam:Schistosoma mansoni strain Puerto Rico chromosome 2, complete genome
AGCCAACUGACGAGUCCCAAAUAGAACGAAACACGCGUCGUGGAU